AAGAUCAGAAUAGAAAAACCGAGGAGAAGAUACUUGUUCAUCUUGAUAAGUUUCACAAGCGAGCCGGUAGGAGGCUUUGUCAGCUCCGGCGCUGCCAUUCAGGGGAGAAACCCGGGCCAGCUGCCAAGACUCACCAGGCUUCACUCCUACA